rnacentral:lncRNA from 1 species
CUGAAUUGAUUUAAUAUUAGUUGAUUUAUAUAUACAAGGUUCCUAUAAAAUAAUUCUUUCAACUAUAUUAAAGAUUGCCCUUACAAAUGUUUUGAACAAAACGUACCAAUUUUGGUCCAGGACCUUGUGUAGACACACGCUUAAGAGAUUUUUGAUAGCUACUUUCCUCCAUCGUUCAUUACCCUUAAUAUACUACCUUUCCCUAAGAUAGGGAAAAACAUAAAGAGACCCAAGAAAUAAAAAUGACCUAUCAUUCAUUGUUCUAUUAUUCUUCUUGGUAGUUUUACAACACAUUAUGCAAUUUCUAGGGAAAACAGUUCGCUGCAUUUUGUUGGUAACAAGUCAAGUAAACAUAAAUUUGAGUCCAAGUUAAGUAUUAUGCCUUUUGAAGAUUUUAUUUCUGGUGUUCUGCACAGUGUCACCAGGUUUCCACGGCAAUAUAGCUGUAACAUUCCUUCUGAGAGAGCUUCCAUCAGGCACACUGGAUCGGAUUUAUGUCAUGGACCCCCACAAGACUGGAAGACAAUUUAAACUUCAAGCAGUAUUGACUUACCUAUCAAUCACUAAGUAUAUAUGACAUUCUCAGAGAAGAAAUCAUAAACAUUGAGAGUUGCCAUACAUAAUGAUGACCUUCAACACAUAUGAAAGAAAUCACCAAGGAUUGGAAGUUGGCUGAUAAAACUGGCAUCAGAAAGACCAUUCAAAAUGAAGAACCAGUGUCAAGAUCCUGGUUACCCUUCUUGCCAUUACUCCCAAAGUAGCCUUUACAUGGAUCCAGGAGUCAGAUAUGUUUUUCUUUGCAACAAAACAAUGUCAUUGCGAGUACACCUGGACAAAACUUUCGGGAUCUGUAAAGAGACACAACUGUUUUACAGUUCGAUUGGAACUGGGGAGGAAUUUAAAAGAAUCACAGUAAGCCGUCUGGUCUUUUCCAGGAGGAUAAUCAACAACAUUGACUGA